UGGCCCAUCGUGUAGAGGAGCCCUGGUGUGAGAGAAGUGACGUACUGGUAGGAAUAUUACUCUAAAGCCAUAAAAGGUUCUGACAAGACUCUGCGCUUAAAAUAUUUUAGAGAAUAUUUACGUACGUUCCUUCUAAAGUACACGCGAGUCGCGUGAAAAUGAUUGAUCAUCAUCAUCAUCUCAGCCAUAAGACGUCCACUGCUGAACAUAGGCCUCCCCCUUAUGGGGGGUGAAUGCCAUAAUCGCCACGCUUGGCAGGCGGGUUGGCGAUCGCAGUCGAGUACACCGAGUUUGAGGGACGCUGCUGCCCGUCCACCGGUGGUCUUGGACCACUCUUAAGGACAUACCCGCCACCCGGGUCCCAAUGAUGUCCCGGGUCAAAAUGAUUGGGGAGUGUUAUCAAUUUUAGAGUUUAAAAAAAAAGGUCAAUAUGGAAAUACAUCGUGUACAUAUAGUUCAGCUGUGGAAGGUUGUCAGCGAAGAUAAUGCAUCUUAAAAACUGGUGUAAAAUGUAUGAGUAUUCUCUAGAAAAUGAACUAGAAAGUGUUUCUACAGAAGACUCGAGUCCUACGAGUAUCAGAUUUAAUUGGUAAAAGAAGUAAACCAUACGAUUGGAGUCAAUAAGUCCGUAUAUCGAGUUGUUUAAGUCCAGUCUCAAGGACUCAAGGCUCGAAGCGUUUUACCAACUCUAUUAUUUCUGUCUACAACCAUAGAGUAAUAUAAGUAAAGAAAGAAUCGCGCGUUAUUCGUCAAGUAGUGGAACUAUCAGUACCGCUACUUGACACCAGAUGGCACAAGUGACGCUACUGACAAAAAAUGUACUGCAAAAACAAUUUACAACUGAUAUUAGAAGCCGAAGGAUUUGAAAAUAGAGUUUUGAGUAAUCCGGUUAUAAAUGAUGACAAUUAGGGCCAGUUGCACCAACCACAUUUGACAGACUGAUCAACGUCAGCCGGCGCGCCCCGGCGCCUUACUAUGAAACUUUCCAUACAUAAAAGUUUAGCGAACUCUUUAACGAUACGAACAGUUUGGUGCAACCGACCCUUAGAGUUUUUGUUAGCAGUAUAUUCCGCUAUUUGACGCUAGAUGUCGACUACGAAAUAAUGCGCGUUUUGAUAAGAAAUCUGAUGUAUGGAGUUACCACUCUUUAUUUAGGUACUUAUAGUACUCUAUGCUAUAACUAAGAUUACGUUGAGUAAUAGGUACUUCGUUACAUGAUCCAAUCAAAGUGUAUUAAUCAAUACCAAGCUUGUUAAGAUUGGUAUUUGAUUGGCAAUUAACGACGUUCACUGUUUAUCGAAAUUACUCUGGCUUUCCUGUGGUUACAUUUACACCUGCGCAUGCAGUUAUCAGUGUUUGCGUGAUAAUGACACUAUUUUUCUGUCGUGCAGCGUCGUUAUAAAAAAAUAACCGCAUGCAUCAUACAGUAUUCUAAGUGUAAAGAAAGAUCACCAAGAGAUUGUAUUUCUCUGCGAUGCUUAAAGGGGCCCACUGAUGAACUGUCCGCCGGACGGUAUCGGCCUCUCAGAACAAAAUUUGGACAGUUGCGAACAACUGACAGUACAGGCCGAUACCGUCCGGCGGACUGUUAAUCAGUGGGCCCCUUAACGGAACGAUCAUAAUAUGCCAACAGCAUUAUUUAUAUACAUUUAUCUUACAUAGAAAACUGUUCUGUAUUGGAAUAUUUGUAAAAAUAUUUUCUUCUCUUCUUCUAUACACAUUUUCAAAAUCGCUUUUAAUACAAUUCGCUACACAGCAACCGUCUUGAAGCCUUUGUUUUUGGUUUCCACAGUUUUAGCAAAACUAUUAGAGUCCCCCAGAGUAAAACUGUCCGAAGUGUCUUCUUGAAUCUUAUCUCUCUCUGAACACUCCUUGUAAUUGUAUCUGUUAUUCGAUAUGGUUUAAGUAUUACAAUAUGUAAUACAAUAAAUAAUCAUAAUUAUAUUAUUUAAUUGUAAACUUAACCCAAUAUUCGUAGCAAACUUGUUUAACUAUGUGAAAUUUAUACACUUAAGAACCACUACCACCAGUUUUGACAUUGACAGAUACGCUCGCGUCUAAGUAACUUACUUUCUAUGCAUCUCGCUCGUACUCGUAUAUUAGUGCAAGCGAGAUGUAUAGAAAGUAAUUUACGUAGACGCGAGCGUAUCCGUCAAUGUGAAAACUGGUGGUAGCCGUAAAGAACAUUUUUUACACAUCAUAUAGCCGUAGAUAUGGAUUCAUUAUUAAGGCCGAGCCACGCCGGCUUACGUGUGCGUGACGUGCGCUAAAAUGUUGGAGCCGCACACGCACACGUCACGCAAGCGGUGUGUCAUCUCUCAUAAGGAUCUGUAUACUACAACGCCGCACGCGCACGUGCACGUCACGCACACGCAGCCGGUGUGCACAGGUCUUAAGUGUCAUUGUUUCAAAAAUAUGUCACCAUACAAACAUAUUUUUGAGUCACACAAUAUUAUUUUUACCUAUUCCUAUUUUUACCAGCUAAUUUAUCCGUUUCACAAAUAACUAUUAAAAUGUAUGUUUGAGCUUAUUUCCUUUAGAUCCUAUAGACCUCCGUUAGCUUAAAUGUUAUGAUAUUAAAAUAUCCAUGUUAAUUUCAUUUGCUUGGACAUUACUAACGGAGUCCUAAAGGCUUUAGAACUUUAAGCUAGGCUUUAGAAUAUAACACUGUCUUAUGACUAGUAUAAGAUUAGUAUAGGAUAAAGGCAGGGACACACUUAUCCCACGUACGCAACGUAUGCAAUGCAUUAUGACAAUCUGAACCCUGAAAAUUGUAUGCUUGGAAACAUACUUGUCAUGCGUUGCGUUGCGUAUGACAAGUAUGUUUCUAAGCAUACACAUUUCAGGGUUCAGAUGUCAUAAUGCAUUGCUUACGUUGCGUACGUGGGAUAAGUGUGUCCCGAGCUUUAUAAUGAUGACCAGCACAUUCUUAUUAUUAAUAUUAAUUUUGUAAUGUUUCACAACAAAGCUUGCUACUUUAGAACAAGAUUUUAAUACUAUGUAUGUUUUCAAAAAUGUCGCACCGUGUAUUUUACGUUUUGGAAUAGUAUGAACAUUCGAGAGUUUUCUUUUAGCCCUAUUUUAUAAAAUAUCAAUGUUUUAGCUUUAAUUUUUACAUUCCCCAGUUUCAUAUUCUAAAUGUACUGUGUUCCAAAUAUACUAAUGGACUAAUUUAGAGGGACGUAAAUAAAAGGGUUUAAUUAAGCACUGGAUUACAUAAACCUAAAGUAAUUUCAAAACUAGUAAUUAAACUCUUCUUUUUUUCGUUCCUUUUAAUUUGGCCACGAGUGUACAAACUCCAUGACGGGUCAAUUAUUUUUUAGUGUUAGUUGCAAGUAUUUAAAUAUUAAUAUAGUUAGGCGAAAAUGUAUUUUUAACUGGCGAUAAAUUAACCAAUAUUAGUUCAAUAAAGGAGUAGAUAAAUAGAACUGUUUUACUCAUUACUGAAAUCCUUUAUGUUAUGAGUAAUACGUACGCUCUGUUACUUAGGGCACACUGAAAAUUCCUGGACUGGCCACUUAGAAAAAACCGGGCAAGUGCGAGUCGGACUCGCGCACGAAGGGUUCCGUACCAUAAUUAAAAAAAAAACAAAAAAAAAACGGUCACCCAUCCAAGUACUGACCACUCCCGACGUUGCUUAACUUUGGUCAAAAAUCACGUUUGUUGUAUGGGAGCCCCAUUUAAAUCUUUAUUUUAUUCUGUUUUUAGUAUUUGUUGUUAUAGCGCGGCAACAGAAAUACAUCAUCUGUGAAAAUUUCAACUGUCUAGCUAUCACGGUUCGUGAGAUACAGCCUGGUGACAGACGGACGGACGGACGGACGGACGGACGGACAGUGAAGUCUUAGUAAUAGGGUCCCGUUUUACCCUUUGGGUACGGAACCCUAAAAAUAAGUCGUCUCCAGAAAAUCAGAAUAUCAGAGAGGAAUAUCAGAAUCCAGAAAAUUUCAGUAUGACCCACGUAUAUCCCAGAUAUUCAAUUGGUCCAUUAUAACUCUUAAUCCGUCCUUGACUGUCCGCGGAUAUCAGGUGACCCAGAUUUUAUAAAAAGGAGUCCGUUUAGGGGAAUUAAUAACGCAAUACCUUUACAAAUUAAAUUUUCUGUGACCGAAUGAAAGAAAAAUGUUGGAGUAACCUUUAUAAGUCAAAUAAUAUUUUGUAGGUAAGUUUUCGGCUAAUUGGAAAAGUUUUUUUUUGCUAUACUUACUUACUUGAAUCUGUAUUUUUACUUUGAAUGUCGAAAUCGAGAAUUUGUCUCUAAUAAUCUCAUCUGAAUUCUUAACAUAUAUGUAAUAAGUAAAUUAUAUCUGUCUGAAUGUACCUAAGAAGAUAAAUUAGGGCGGAAGAGAAAAAUCGAUAAAAAAUCACGUAAAGUACUGGCACCAGUGACCGAGAAGAACCAGUAGGUAACUGACAGUAUUUUUAAGGAGUAUCUAACAAAAUAAGAGUAUGUAGCUUGUUUCUUGCUGCUGGUUCCUGUCAGCCACUGGUGUUACCUUAUUAAGUCUACUUUCUGUUCAUAUGAUGCAACAUUUGGACCAUCAAAUCCAUAGUAAAGUACUGGGUCUCAGAUGUUUAGUGUCAAGUGUAAAAGUAUGGGCGUAGACAACUUACUCAAAAAUAUGUCCCAUGGUUCCUAAUUCGCUCACACAAGAGCUAUAACGGUACAUAUUUUUGAGAUGUUUUGGGCACCCAUAUUUUUAUAAGUACUUGUAUGUACCAAACUACACAGUGACUUGCGGUAGUGACGAAAUAUAUAUAAUACGUUUGUUUCUGUAUUUCAACCGUGGUAGUAAUAAAAAAUGCAGCCGAUAUACAAUCCCAACAAAGUUGUGCCAAACGCGACCGCUCCUCAAUAUAACCGUUCAAGUUUUUUAAUAUCUCAUCCAUUUCUGCGGUAGGUCACGCUCUUAUGAGCUUCUAACGAAAGUUCCAUUUACAAUAUUCCAUCGGCAAACGGUAUUCCAAGUUUACAAUACCAGUUUAAAUUUAAAAUGGCUUAUGUAUCUUGUAACCGCAGCGCGCUUACAUCAUUGUGGUUUUGUUUAAGUACUAGAUGAGCCCGUUUGAUUUACUAAUGCAUUUGGGUGCAUCAAUGGGAUUUAUUUGCAAUACCUAUAUCGAUUGAACCACUUUAGUAAUGUUUAUGGCGCUUUUGUGGGAUGCCCUUGCGUGUAUGACUUGACCAUUAGCAAGAUUAUAUUCGGAGCUGCGAAUUUCCUUUGUCUUCGCCCAAAGGAAACAUUGUCAUUCUCGGGACUAAGGUAAGGUACAUAUUAAACGAAGCAACUUGAAUUUUGAAUUUUGUAUUCCGUCUACUUUUAAGCGCCCCGUCUGACCAACAUUAAUAGGUGGUGGGUCGUGGUUUUUUGUGUAAGUAGUUUGUAAUUGACUAAUUUUGUUUAUUGAGAAUUUAAAUACAUAUUAAACAUAUUAAUGAGAUUCA